ACGAGCUGCCUUCCUGGGCUGAGCCCCACUGCUCUGCUUCUGCUUUGCUCCCUGGGUGCCCCCAGCAGGCCCCGCGUGCCUGACCCUGCACCACACAACUUCUUGCCCCGUGAGAGCGCAACUACAGAAGUUAGUGAAGCAAACAGUUUGAGAGAGCAGAGUCCAGCGGGAGCACAGAAGAGGUGGGGUGGAGGCCGGCGCUGGAAGGCUCCUAAGGCAUUUCUGCAGCUCUAAUCGAUCCCCUGAUGUGUUAGACUCAGAUUAUCCAUGUAUUGAUCAGCUAUCAAAAGGUUCUCCUUGGUUUAUAGCUUUAUCCUUUCCGGGUCUCUGAAUUGUGUUGCAAAUAAGAACACUAGGGACACCAUGUGCUUUUAUGUCAGCCAAAGUGAGAUGGGGCCCAGCAUUAAACUCUGGAUCCAGCUUUUGAAUAUCCCAAAGUUCAGGGGUGUCUGUACCUGGAUUAUUGGUUCAAGCCCAUCCCUGAAGCUGAGUUUAACUGUCUGCAUUGUAAAUUGGCU